rnacentral:rRNA from 1 species
UACGUAGGGGGCAAGCGUUGUCCGGAUUUAUUGGGCGUAAAGAGCGUGUAGGCGGCUGGGUAGGUCCGUUGUGAAAACUCGAGGCUCAACCUCGAGACGCCGAUGGAAACCCUCCAGCUAGAGUCCGGAAGAGGAGAGUGGAAUUCCUGGUGUAGCAGUGAAAUGCGUAGAUAUCAGGAGGAACACCGAUGGCGAAGGCAGGUCUCUGGGCUGACACUGACGCUCAUGCACGAAAGCGUGGGGAGCAAACAGG